GGCCAUCUCUGUUGGCAUCAGCAUAUCUCAUAUCACGGGUAGCUCUAAAACCAGGGUGCUUUGAACCCAGUUGAUGGAAAGCUUUCUCUAGAUCUUCCUUGCUCAGAAGAUUGUUAUGAUUUGCAUUGCAUUGCAAGAUAAUUUCCCUUAUCUGCUCCAGUUAGGUCACAGCUUCACGAUCAAAACAUUUUUCUUGAGUACCCAUUUUUGCAAAUUAAUGGGACCAGUCAGGGUUUGC
rnacentral:misc_RNA from 1 species